CAAGUCUACAAUGCACUGUGAAUGUAGUAACGCAAAGACGAAUAAAGAAAAAAGACUGUGAAAGUGAAUAGCAAUUGAUCUUAGAAAUGAAACAAAAAUCAAGAAUAAAUUAGUGCAUGUGACUUAUCAUCUACUUCUUUGAUAGUGCCAGGCGGUCCUGAGAUCAACACACGAGGUUCCUCUAGCAUGUCUGUCAUACCAGGGUAGAGAAUGCACUGUUCAAACAAAUGACUGGGAACACUAGGACUAGACAAGUGAUCAGCACACAGACAAAGCUGGGUGGAAUCAUCUGUAGCAUUCAAAUCUUUCGGAUGGCAUCAGACACCUCUGUGACUAUAUGGUCAUCAACUGACCCUCCACCAUCCUCACAGUCAUUGUUUUUAUCGCUGACAGACUUGACCACCC